UGGGGAAUAUUGGACAAUGGGCGCAAGCCUGAUCCAGCCAUGCCGCGUGAGUGAUGAAGGCCCUAGGGUUGUAAAGCUCUUUCACCGGUGAAGAUAAUGACGGUAACCGGAGAAGAAGCCCCGGCUAACUUCGUGCCAGCAGCCGCGGUAAUACGAAGGGGGCUAGCGUUGUUCGGAUUUACUGGGCGUAAAGCGCACGUAGGCGGACUUUUAAGUCAGGGGUGAAAUCCCGGGGCUCAACCCCGGAACUGCCUUUGAUACUGGAAGUCUUGAGUAUGGUAGAGGUGAGUGGAAUUCCGAGUGUAGAGGUGAAAUUCGUAGAUAUUCGGAGGAACACUAGUGGCGAAGGCGGCUCACUGGACCAUUACUGACGCUGAGGUGCGAAAGCGUGGGGAGCAAACAGG
rnacentral:rRNA from 1 species